rnacentral:rRNA from 1 species
UCUGGUCUGUCACUGACAGCUGAGGCGCGAAAGCGUGGGUAGCAAACAGGAUUAGAUACCCUGGUAGUCCAUGCCGUAAACGAUGUCUACUAGCCGUUAGGAGCCUCAAGUUCUUAUGGGCCCAUUUAACCCGAUAACUCUCCCGCCGGGGAAGUACGGCCCCAAGGUUAAAACUCAAAUGAAUUGACGGGGGCCGCCCCAACCGGGGAACCUGGGGGUU